rnacentral:rRNA from 1 species
UGGGGAAUAUUGCACAAUGGGCGCAAGCCUGAUGCAGCCAUGCCGCGUGUGUGAAGAAGGCCUUCGGGUUGUAAAGCACUUUCAGCGAGGAGGAAGGUGGUGAGCUUAAUACGCUCAUCAAUUGACGUUACUCGCAGAAGAAGCACCGGCUAACUCCGUGCCAGCAGCCGCGGUAAUACGGAGGGUGCAAGCGUUAAUCGGAAUUACUGGGCGUAAAGCGCACGCAGGCGGUUUGUUAAGUCAGAUGUGAAAUCCCCGGGCUCAACCUGGGAACUGCAUUUGAAACUGGCAAGCUAGAGUCUCGUAGAGGGGGGUAGAAUUCCAGGUGUAGCGGUGAAAUGCGUAGAGAUCUGGAGGAAUACCGGUGGCGAAGGCGGCCCCCUGGACGAAGACUGACGCUCAGGUGCGAAAGCGUGGGGAGCAAAACAGGAUUAGAUACCCUGGUAGUCCACGCUGUAAACGAUGUCGAUUUUGGAGGUUGUGCCCUUGAGGCGUGGCUUCCGGAGCUAACGCGUUAAAUCGACCGCCUGGGGAGUACGGCCGCAAGGUUAAAACUUAAAGG